rnacentral:tRNA from 1 species
GGUGAGGUGGGUGAGUGGCUUAAACCACCAGUUUGCUAAACUGGCGUACUGUAACAGGUACCGAGGGUUCGAAUCCCUCCCUCACCG